GUCCAGGGAUGGGAAUCGAACCCACAGUGUUACGCUUACUGGGCAGAUGCCAUGUACACUAGGCUUACCCUGGA
rnacentral:tRNA from 1 species